GAACCAGCAGCUCCCAUGAGGCAAAUUUACACCGUAACUUCGGGAGAAGGUGUGCCGCUGGCGGUUAGUGACUUCGCGUCACGAAGCUGUCGGUGGUCGCAGUGAAAUGGCGGUUGUGACUGUUUACUAAAAACACAGGACUCUGCGAAGUCGUAAGACGACGUAUAGGGUCUGAUGCCUGCCCGGUGCUGGAAGGUUAAGGGGAUAUGUCAGCGCAAGCGAAGCAUUGAACCGAAGCCCCAGUAAACGGCGGCCGUAACUAUAACGGUCCUAAGGUAGCGAAAUUCCUUGUCGGGUAAGUUCCGACCUGCACGAGGGCAUAACAACAUCCGCACUGUCUCGACCAGGGACUCAGCGAAAUUACAUUGGGGGUGAAGAUGCCCUCUACCCGCGGAAAGACGGAAAGACCCCAUGAACCUUUACUGCAACUUGGCAGUGAUUUUCGGGUUGUUCUGCGUAGGAUAGGUGGGAGGCUUUGAAGCCGGGCUUCCGGGUUCGGCAGAGCCAACGUUGAAAUACCACCCUGAAUAAUCUGGAAAUCUAACCUGCGCCCAUGAUCUGGGCGAGGGACACUGCCUGGUGGGCAGUUUGACUGGGGCGGUCGCCUCCUAAAUUGUAACGGAGGCGUGCGACGGUUCCCUCAGGCUGAUUGGAAACCAGCCGUAGAGUGCAAACGCAUAAGGGAGCUUUACUGCGAGACUGACAAGUCGAACAGUUGCGAAAGCAGGUGUUAGUGAUCCGGUGGUACCACACGGAAGGGCCAUCGCUCAUCGGAUAAAAGGUACUCUGGGGAUAACAGGCUGAUCGCGCCUGAGAGUUCACAUCGGCGGCGCGGUUUGGCACCUCGAUGUCGGCUCAUCGCAUCCUGGGGCUGGAGCAGGUCCCAAGGGUUUGGCUGUUCGCCAAUUAAAGCGGUACGCGAGCUGGGUUUAAAACGUCGUGAGACAGUUUGGUCCCUAUCUUCCGUGGGCGCAGGACACUUGAGAGGAGCUAUCCAUAGUACGAGAGGACCUGGAUGGACGAACCUCUGGUGCUCCGGUUGUCACGCCAGUGGCAUAGCCGGGUAGCCAUGUUCGGAACAGAUAACCGCUGAAGGCAUAUAAGCGGGAAGCUGGCCUCAAGACUAGGUGUCCCUGACGCAAGUCACUAAAGGCCCCUCGAAGACUACGAGGUUGAUAGGCUCGGUGUGGAAGCGCUGCGAGGCGUGGAGCUAACGAGUACUAAUAGGCCGUGCGACUUGACCCC
rnacentral:rRNA from 1 species